AUAACAUCCAAAAUGCAAGCAGUGAUAUGUGUGUAAGUGCAGUAUAUGGAAGACUAGGUUGGGAUCGAGAGAGAGAGAGACAGAGAGAGAGAGAUGUAAAAAUAGAGAGAGAGACAGAGAGAGAGAACAUCAGCGCCACAGGUAACUUCCACAAAGCUGUGAACGAUCUGAGAGACAAGGCAAGAAGGGCCUUCUAUGCCAUCAAAAGGAACAUAAAAUUCAACAUACCAAUUAGGAUCUGGCUAAAAUUACUUGAAUCAGUUAUAGAGCCCAUUGCCCUUUAUGGUUGUGAGGUCUGGGGUCCGCUCACCAAUCAAGAUUUCACAAAAUGGGACAAACACCAAAUUGAGACUCUGCAUGCAGAAUUCUGGAAAAAUAUCCUCUGUGUACAAUGUAGAACACCAAAUAAUGCAUGCCGAUACCCACUAAUUAUCAAGAUCCAGAAAAGAGCCGUUAAAUUCUACAACCACCUAAAAGGAAGCGAUUCCCAAACCUUCCAUAACAAAGCCAUCACCUACAGAGAGAUAAACCUGGAGAAGAGUCCGCUAAGCAAGCUGGUCCUGGGGCUCUGUUCACAAACACAAACACACCCCACAGAGCCCCAGGACUGCAACACAAUUAGACCCAAGCAAAUCAUGAGAAAACAAAAAGAUAAUUACUUGACACAUUGGAAAGAAUUAACAAAAAAACAGAGCAAACUAGAAUGCUAUUUGGCCCUAAACAGAGAGUACACAGUGGCAGAAUACCUGACCACUGUGACUGACCCAGACUUAAGGAAAGCUUUGACUAUGUACACACUCAGUAAGCAUAGCCUUGCUAUUGAGAAUGGCACCGUAGGCAGACAUGGCUCUCAAGAGAAGACAGGCUAUGUGCACACUGCUCACAAAAUGAGGUGGAAACUGAGCUGCACUUCCUAAACUCCUGCCAGCUGUAUGACCAUAUUAGAGACACAAAUUUCCCUCAGAUUACACAGAUCCACAAAGAAUGUGAAAACAAAUCACAUUUUGAUAAACUCCAAUAUCUAUUGGGUG
rnacentral:lncRNA from 13 species